UCACCCAGUAGUGCUGGUUCUCUGGAAUGCUGUACAAUGCCCCUCCCAUUCCUCCUCACUUUUCUGGACUCAACUGUCAUCUUUCUGAAAACCACUUUGCAUUUCUACAGUGCCCCUUCAGGAGCAUUGAAGUGUGGAAUCUAUAUUUACCUCUUGCUAGGGGAGAAGUGAGUUUUCCUGUUAGUGAGUUUAUGAGAAGCACCUGGGCAUUCCUGACCGUGACAAUUCCUGUUCUCUUGGGGGCUCUGUCUGAUCCCAGGGAAGCGUGCAUUCACUGUCCAUCCCUGCUGGAAAUCUUCUUUGGGUGGGUCUCACGGGGAAGACAGUGGUUUUGAGAUUUGC
rnacentral:lncRNA from 1 species